rnacentral:rRNA from 1 species
AGUGAACGCUGGCGGUAGGCCUAACGCAUGCAAGUCGAACGGCAGCACAGUAAGAGCUUGCUCUUACGGGUGGCGAGUGGCGGACGGGUGAGGAAUACAUCGGAAUCUACUUUUUCGUGGGGGAUAACGUAGGGAAACUUACGCUAAUACCGCAUACGACCUACGGGUGAAAGCAGGGGAUCUUCGGACCUUGCGCGAUUGAAUGAGCCGAUGUCGGAUUAGCUAGUUGGCGGGGUAAAGGCCCACCAAGGCGACGAUCCGUAGCUGGUCUGAGAGGAUGAUCAGCCACGCUGGAACUGAGACACGGUCCAGACUCCUACGGGAGGCAGCAGUGGGGAAUAUUGGACAAUGGGCGCAAGCCUGAUCCAGCCAUACCGCGUGGGUGAAGAAGGCCUUCGGGUUGUAAAGCCCUUUUGUUGGGAAAGAAAAGCAGCAGGUUAAUACCCCGCUGUUCUGACGGUACCCAAAGAAUAAGCACCGGCUAACUUCGUG